rnacentral:rRNA from 1 species
GGUUUGGUGGUCAUAGCGCAAGUGAAACACCCGGUCCCAUCCCGAACCCGGAAGUUAAGCACUGCCGCGCCAAUGGUACUUGGGCUUAAGCCCCGGGAGAGUAGGUCACCGCCAAACCU